GUAGUUUUCCCUGUACAAGCUCUCGCCUGCCGCCAUGUAAACGUUCUUUGCUCCUGCUUCGUCUUCUGCCGUGAUUGUGAGGCCUCCCCAGCCAUGUGGAACUACUCAUCACUCACUGCAGAUGUUACUUUAAGACAUUCUGGAGCAGCGUCAUGUGCAGGAACAAUAAGGAAGUGAGUGCUUUUGUAAUUCCUGAACAACUGUGUCUUACACUUACUAAGUUCUCUUGCCUGCCACCAUGUAAGAUAUGCUUUUACUCUUCCGCCUUCCACCGUGACUGUGAGGCCUCCCCAGCCAUGUGAAACUGCCUUUGAGCUUAUACUGAAUUAUACCACCAGCUUUCCUAGGUCUUGAAGCUUACAGACAGCAGAUCUUGGGACUUCUCAGGCACCAUAAUCAAUCAUAGAUAAAUGAUCCAAUGAUUCGGAACUUGAAAAGUGGUAGCUUUAUGAAUUCUCCUUAAGAAGAAACCUGUGCCCUGAUCUUGCCUACUCACCCAAAGGCACUGUGAGAUAGCAUCAAAGGAACAGCUAGUAAGAGACACAGAGCCAGAAAUCAGGGAAGUAAAAUACACUUGACAUCUACGUUCGGAAAGAAAUUUUAGGAGGCAGAAGCAAAUGGAUCAGAAGCUGCUUAUAUUUUUGCAAGAUUACCAAAGAAACCAUUGGUGGAGAAAGUUCUGUGACCAACUUGUCUGAGUCUAGUAAGAUUGAACGCUCACACACAAGUUUCAUGAAGUGGGUUUGAUACUUACAGAUAAGCAGCAAGGACCAACAGAAGCUGAUGAUCUAUGGUGAACUUUUUCCCAAGGCUCCGGAAAGCUGCCUAAAGUAGAUGGAGUCUUCUCUGUGUGUGCCCCACUGGUCCUGCAGUUGAAGGAUCCGGUAAAGCAGCCUGCCCUUGGUUUUAUACUCCAGAGGAACGUGAUUCGCUGGACUAAAGCAUUGAAGUGCAUCCUGUUUCCGGGGGGCACUGGAACAGAGCCUGGUCUGUUCUAGCCAGUCCCUUUCUAUCUCAGGAUAACAUUCUACAGUUAUUCUUGAGAACUAUAAUCAAAUAAGCAGGGAGAACUGGGAAAGCAGAGGCUCAUUGUGGAACCCUCAAGGAGCAUGGGGUCGUCUUCAUCCCUCAGUUUAUAAAUGGCCAAGGAGAGUAAUGCAACAAAAACUUCUCAGAGUUAAAAGCCAGAGUUCCUAAAGAACCGUGGACAAAGGGUUCUGUCUAGUGGGCAGAAUUCAUCCAGCGAAGGUGCUUACUGCACUCCCAGCAUGUGCUUGGGAACUUUAUUAAAAUUCCUUCCUAUUGAGAUUUAAAUUGCUGUCCAGAAUUAUACAAUAUAAUGAAUGGGGGCAUUCAUUAUGUGUAUUCUAUGCCUUCUCCAUCAUUGCAUAUUCAGUCCUCGUGCUAGAGAGAGGCAGAUAAUCUACCUUUUAAAUUGAUAGGUCUCCUAACUACAGAGGGUCACAUCUGGAUCUGAUGGCACCUACAGAACUUGGACUCUGAGCGACAAUCAGUGACCAGGUGUGACUUUAUAUUAUCUCUGUCAGGGAAGGGUGAGAGUUUUCAAUGUGUGAACAUAGAAUAAAAUGGUCUGGUGACCAAAAGGCUCUAUUAAAGAUAAUAUGAGAUGUUCAAAA
rnacentral:lncRNA from 1 species